GUUCAUGUAGCUUAAUACUAAAGCAAAGCACUGAAAAUGCUUAGAUGAGUUGUUAUGACUCCAUAAACA
rnacentral:tRNA from 1 species